GACGAACGCUGGCGGCGUGCUUAACACAUGCAAGUCGAGCGGAAAGGCCCUUCGGGGUACGUCGAGCGGCGAACGGGUGAGUAACACGUGAGUAACCUGCCCUUGGCUCUGGGAUAAGCCCGGGAAACUGGGUCUAAUACCGGAUAUGACCAUCAGAUGCAUGUCUUGGUGGUGGAAAGAUUUUUCGGCUGGGGAUGGGCUCGCGGUCUAUCAGCUUGUUGGUGGGGUGAUGGCCUACCAAGGCGACGACGGGUAGCCGGCCUGAGAGGGUGACCGGCCACACUGGGACUGAGACACGGCCCAGACUCCUACGGGAGGCAGCAGUGGGGAAUAUUGCGCAAUGGGCGGAAGCCUGACGCAGCGACGCCGCGUGGGG
rnacentral:rRNA from 1 species